rnacentral:rRNA from 1 species
GACGAACGCUGGCGGCGUGCUUAACACAUGCAAGUCGAACGGAAAGGCUCCUGCUUGCAGGGGUACUCGAGUGGCGAACGGGUGAGUAACACGUGGGUGAUCUGCCUUGUACUCUGGGAUAAGCUUGGGAAACUGGGUCUAAUACCAGAUAAUAACUGCCUUUAGUGUGGUGGUUGGAAAGUUUUUUCGGUGCAAGAUGAGCUCGCGGCCUAUCAGCUUGUUGGUGGGGUAAUGGCCUACCAAGGCGUCGACGGGUAGCCGGCCUGAGAGGGUGUACGGCCACAUUGGGACUGAGAUACGGCCCAGACUCCUACGGGAGGCAGCAGUGGGGAAUAUUGCACAAUGGGCGGAAGCCUGAUGCAGCGACGCCGCGUGGGGGAUGACGGCCUUCGGGUUGUAAACUCCUUUCGACAGGGACGAAGCUUUUUGUGACGGUACCUGUAUAAGAAGCACCGGCUAACUACGUG